rnacentral:misc_RNA from 1 species
GGGACUUCAAUACAAAGGAGCAUGGUGCACCCCUCCUAGGGUGUUUGUUGAUUAUCAGGAAGAAGUAGCACCUCAGUUAGAGCCUGGAAUGAUCCCAUCAACCGUUGAUCCAGAUGCAGCUGGGUUUGUUGAAAAGGGAAACAAGGGACCUAAGCGGCCUGUUAAGAUCAGUGCAUGGAAACUUGCCAAAUUGGAUUCAAGUGAAGCAAUGAGAGCCGCAGCAAAAGCUAGAGCAUCCUCAUCUGUUUUACGUCCUGUUGAUAACCGUCGUUUUGAUACUGAAUUAAGUUCCAGUGAGAAUAUGAGUGUCAGAAGCAGUAUCAGUGCUGAUACCGGAGGAAAUAGAGAUAUGAGAAAUGAAUUAAGGAAUUCACUUGCUCCUAGUCAAGGUAGCCGAGAUGAGUAUGAAACUGGAACUCACAGCAUCAGUAGCUUUAGCAGUCCCAGCC